rnacentral:rRNA from 1 species
GUGUCAGCAGCCGCGGUAAUACGUAGGUGGCAAGCGUUGUCCGGAUUUACUGGGCGUAAAGGGCGUGCAGGCGGUUUGUUAAGUCUAGGGUGAAAGCUCCCGGCUCAACUGGGAGAGGUCCUUGGAUACUGGCAGACUUGAGGAGGGUAGAGGAGAGUGGAAUUCCCGGUGUAGUGGUGAUAUGCGUAGAUAUCGGGAGGAACACCAGUGGCGAAGGCGGCUCUCUGGGCCCUACCUGACGCUGAGACGCGAAAGCGUGGGGAGCGAACCGGAUUAGAAACCCCCGUAGUCC